GAUGAACGCUGGCGGCGUGCCUAAUACAUGCAAGUCGAGCGAACGGACGAGAAGCUUGCUUCUCUGAUGUUAGCGGCGGACGGGUGAGUAACACGUGGAUAACCUACCUAUAAGACUGGGAUAACUUCGGGAAACCGUAGCUAAUACCGGAUAAUAUUUUGAACCGCAUGGUUCAAAAGUGAAAGACGGUCUUGCUGUCACUUAUAGAUGGAUCCGCGCUGCAUUAGCUAGUUGGUAAGAUAACGGCUUACCAAGGCAACGAUGCAUAGCCGACCUGAGAGGGUGAUCGGCCACACUGGAACUGAGACACGGUCCAGACUCCUACGGGAGGCAGCAGUAGGGAAUCUUCCGCAAUGGGCGAAAGCCUGACGGAGCAACGCCGCGUGAGUGAUGAAGGUCUUCGGAUCGUAAAACUCUGUUAUUAGGGAAGAACAUAUGUGUAAGUAACUGUGCACAUCUUGAUGGUACCUAAUCAGAAAGCCACGGCUAACUACGUG
rnacentral:rRNA from 1 species